UACGUAGGGUGCGAGCGUUGUCCGGAAUUAUUGGGCGUAAAGGGCUCGUAGGCGGUCUGUUACGUCGGGAGUGAAAACUCGGGGCUCAACCCCGGAGCCUGCUUCCGAUACGGGCAGACUAGAGGUAUGCAGGGGAGAAUGGAAUUCCUGGUGUAGCGGUGAAAUGCGCAGAUAUCAGGAGGAACACCGGUGGCGAAGGCGGUUCUCUAGUACGGUACUGACGCUGAGACGCGAAAGCGUGGGGAGCGAACAGG
rnacentral:rRNA from 1 species